AGAACCUACACCAUGAAAAACCCUAGGAGAACCUGAAGAAAAAAAAUCGACAGAAUACCAUAGGAACCCCUUCAGCCGUCAACCAUCCCGGCCAACGACCACCCAUCUCCACCACUCAGCCGACCCUACACCACCAGCCUAGCCGCCAUUGACCCCUUAAUCUGAACAACCUAGACACCACCCAAAACCGCCGCACACACAUACCCCUAAGCAGCAACAACUGCUCGUCCUCACCAGCCACGCCGUCGCCGCCAGCAACUCCAACCAAACGCUCUGCCAAACCACCCUCGGGCCCUUGACCUCCAUCCUUGACCUGCUGCUUCACUUCACAAAAAAAAUAAACACCCCUGAGCAGCCAUAAGCAACAAUCUUUGAGUAACACCUUGAAAAUCCGCCACACAUAUACAUAUGGUCGAAAAACCAAGAAAACCAAACAAAAAAAGAACAUAAACAGAUCCUCAGCAGGUCAUUGCUCAUGUUUCCAUUUUUUGAUUUGCUCGUUAGUUUCUAUUCGAGGCUUGUUUUGAAGCGAGUCAGUGGAGGCCGACUUUAAGGUGUCCAUUCGAUUUUCCGGUCUAGCCUCGUUCCACAGUUUUGUGCGAGUGCUUGUAAAUCUCAGGACUCGAGCAUGACAAAUACCCCAUGACCAUUCUAGUCAAGACCAUUGCAUGCACGAGCUGCUUGAGGAAAUUUUUUAUUUUUUAGUCUAUUUUAUUUUGUCUUUUAAUUAUUAGUCUUGUACAGUAGUAUCAAGUCUGUCAGUCUAGUUAAGAUUGUCGAGUCUUUUGUUAUAGUACUUCCUUUUUGUAUUUGAAAAACCAAAAAAAGUUAUAAAUGGAAAAUCUAAAAGAUUUGUUUUA